rnacentral:rRNA from 1 species
GUGGGGAAUAUUGGACAAUGGGGGAAACCCUGAUCCAGCAAUGCCGCGUGAGUGAAGAAGGCCCUAGGGUUGUAAAGCUCUUUCAGAUGUGAAGAUGAUGACUGUAACAUCAGAAGAAGUCCCGGCUAACUCCGUGCCAGCAGCCGCGGUAAUACGGAGGGGGCUAGCGUUGUUCGGAUUUACUGGGCGUAAAGCGCACGUAGGCGGCGAAGCAAGUUAGAGGUGAAAUCCCCGGGCUCAACCUGGGAAUUGCCUUUAAUACUGUUUUGCUUGAGUUCGGAAGAGGGUAGUGGAAUUUCCAGUGUAGAGGUGAAAUUCGUAGAUAUUGGAAAGAACACCAGUGGCGAAGGCGACUACCUGGUCCGAUACUGACGCUGAGGUGCGAAAGCGUGGGGAGCAAACAGGAUUAGAAACCCGGGUAGUCC